rnacentral:misc_RNA from 1 species
GAUGAAGAACGUAGCGAAAUGCGAUAAGUAAUGUGAAUUGCAGAAUUCAGUGAAUCAUCGAAUCUUUGAACGCACAUUGCUCCCGCUAGUAUUCUGGCGGGCAUGCCUGUUCGAGCGUCAUUUCAACCAUCAAGCUCCUUAGCUUGUGUUGGGGACCUGCGGCUGCCGCAGCCCCCGAAAUGCAGUGGCGGGCUCGUUGUCACACCGAGUGCAGUAAUCAUUCUUCUCUCCGGGCGUGGCGGCGGGUUCCGGCCGUAAAAUCACCAAUUUAUCAAGGUUGACCUCGGAUCAGGCAGGAAUACCCGCUGAACUUAAGCAUAUCAAUAAGCGGAGGA